CUUUUGAAUAUAAUUUAAGGUCUAGCCUGCCCAAUGAUGAAAAUUAAAUGGCCGCGGUAGCCUGACCGUGCAAAGGUAGCAUAAUCAUUAGUUUUUUAAUUGAAAGCUGGAAUGAAAGGUUGGAUGAGAAAAUUACUGUCUCUAUUUAAAUUAAUUAGAAAUUUAUUUUUAAGUAAAAAAGCUUAAAUAAAUCUAGAAGACGAGAAGACCCUAUAGAGUUUUAUAAAUUUAUAAUAUAUAAAUUUUAAGUAUUAAAAAUUUAUAAUUAAAAAUUUAUUUGGUUGGGGUGAUUGAGAAAUUAAAUUAACUUUCUUUAGCUAAAAACAUUAAUUAAUGGAUUUAUGAUCCUUAUUUAAAGAUUACAAGAAAAAAUUACCUUAGGGAUAACAGCGUAAUUUUUUUUGAGAGUUCUAAUCGAAAAAAAAGAUUGCGSSCUCGAUGUUGGAUUAAAAUUAAUUUUUGGUGUAGGAGCUAAA
rnacentral:rRNA from 1 species